rnacentral:rRNA from 1 species
ACAUGCAAGUCGAACGGCAGCGCUGGAGCAUCCUGGCGGCGAGUGGCGAACGGGUGAGUAAUACAUCGGAACGUGUCCUGUAGUGGGGGAUAGCCCGGCGAAAGCCGGAUUAAUACCGCAUACGAUCUACGGAUGAAAGCGGGGGAUCGCAAGACCUCGCGCUAUAGGGGCGGCCGAUGGCGGAUUAGCUAGUUGGUGGGGUAAAGGCCCACCAAGGCGACGAUCCGUAGCUGGUCUGAGAGGACGACCAGCCACACUGGGACUGAGACACGGCCCAGACUCCUACGGGAGGCAGCAGUGGGGAAUUUUGGACAAUGGGCGCAAGCCUGAUCCAGCAAUGCCGCGUGUGUGAAGAAGGCCUUCGGGUUGUAAAGCACUUUUGUCCGGAAAGAAAUCCUCUGGGUUAAUACCCCGGGGGGAUGACGGUACCGGAAGAAUAAGCACCGGCUAACUACGUGCCAGCAGCCGCGGUAAUACGUAGGGUGCGAGCGUUAAUCGGAAUUACUGGGCGUAAAGCGUGCGCAGGCGGUGAUGUAAGACCGAUGUGAAAUCCCCGGGCUUAACCUGGGAACUGCAUUGGUGACUGCAUCGCUGGAGUAUGGCAGAGGGGGGUAGAAUUCCACGUGUAGCAGUGAAAUGCGUAGAGAUGUGGAGGAAUACCGAUGGCGAAGGCAGCCCCCUGGGGCCAUACUGACGCUCAUGCACGAAAGC